rnacentral:other from 1 species
CGUCUCCUGCAGUGUUCGAUGUCUACCUGGAAUACUUUCGACCCUAACUAUCUACCUCGGGGUCGUGCACUGUCGGCAGCAUGUGUGCAAAACCACUUCGGUGGAUAGCCUUUUGUUGCCACGGCUGACCCCACUUGUUGCUCCCGGUUCGAGAGCGACGGUCGGCGACGGCACAGGUGGGAGGCGU